rnacentral:lncRNA from 1 species
AUUUGUUGAUAACCAUAGUCUACAGUCACAGAAGAAGCAGAUCUUGCCUUAUACUUUCCACAGAAUGAUAAACAACGCCAGAAGAUUCUUAAAGACAUGAGCUAAGACAGGUUAUAAUGUCUUGCGGUAUGUAGUUUAUACACAGCAAUCACUGGUAACUCCACUUUUUGCUGACAGUCUUUGCUGGAAUCAGUGAACUGAUA